GACGAACGCUGGCGGCGUGCUUAACACAUGCAAGUCGAACGGAAAGGCCCUUCGGGGUCCUCGAGUGGCGAACGGGUGAGUAACACGUGGGUGAUCUGCCCUGCACUUUGGGAUAAGCCUGGGAAACUGGGUCUAAUACCGAAUAUGAUCAUCGGCUUCAUGGUCGGUGGUGGAAAGCUUUUGCGGUGUGGGAUGGGCCCGCGGCCUAUCAGCUUGUUGGUGGGGUAAUGGCCUACCAAGGCGACGACGGGUAGCCGGCCUGAGAGGGUGACCGGCCACACUGGGACUGAGAUACGGCCCAGACUCCUACGGGAGGCAGCAGUGGGGAAUAUUGCACAAUGGGCGCAAGCCUGAUGCAGCGACGCCGCGUGAGGGAUGACGGCCUUCGGGUUGUAAACCUCUUUCAGCACAGACGAAGCGCAAGUGACGGUAUGUGCAGAAGAAGGACCGGCCAACUACGUG
rnacentral:rRNA from 1 species